AUACGGAGGGUGCGAGCGUUAUCCGGAUUUAUUGGGUUUAAAGGGAGCGUAGGUGGGAUAUUAAGUCAGCUGUGAAAGUUUGGGGCUCAACCUUAAAAUUGCAGUUGAUACUGGUUUCCUUGAGUACGGUACAGGUGGGCGGAAUUCGUGGUGUAGCGGUGAAAUGCUUAGAUAUCACGAAGAACUCCGAUCGCGAAGGCAGCUCACCGGGCCGGAACUGACACUGAUGCUCGAAAGUGCGGGUAUCAAACAGGAUUAGAUACCCUGGUAGUCCGCACAGUAAACGAUGAAUACUCGCUGUUUGCGAUACACUGUAAGCGGCCAAGCGAAAGCGUUAAGUAUUCCACCUGGGGAGUACGCCGGCAACGGUGAAACUCAAAUGAAUUGACGGGG
rnacentral:rRNA from 1 species